rnacentral:rRNA from 1 species
UACGUAGGGGGCAAGCGUUGUCCGGAAUCAUUGGGCGUAAAGAGCGUGUAGGCGGCCAGAAAAGUCCGCUGUGAAAACUCGAGGCUCAACUUCGAGCUGUCGGUGGAAACUUUCUGGCUAGAGUCCGGAAGAGGAGAAUGGAAUUCCUGGUGUAGCGGUGAAAUGCGCAGAUAUCAGGAAGAACACCCGUGGCGAAAGCGUUCUGCUAGACCUGUACUGACACUGAGGGACGAAAGCUAGGGGAGCGAAUGGG